AUUAGAUGCAGCACCAGAUGUGGUGUUCUUUUCUAAUCAAAACAAUCAGAAAUGGUUCACAUUUCCAUGAAAAUAACAAUAUACAUUAAUAGUUUUGCUCCAAAGAGCCAUGGUAAGUCCAAAGAGAUCUGGACCAGAUGAACAUCCUCAGAAUAUCACAUUGAUUACAUCAAUGACACUGUUAAUUGGGUGGGUUGAGCAAGAGGUGGCUAGCAUGCUGGAGACAAGUAAGAUAUGCAUGAGCCAGAGGGUUGGAAAUUAAACCUGGAAACAUUAGGAACCUGUCAAUGUUUUCAUGGGUCUAGUAAUCAGACAUCAUGCCCAAAGCAAAUUAUUAAAUUGUACCUCCUGCUAUGAAGAAGAUGGCACAGCAUAGAUAAGCCUCAAAUUCUUACCAUAUUCCACUCCAUCCUUGCUCUUUCUUGUUCUGGGACCCAUCUUUGAAUCCAGAACAAGAAAGGUCUCUGCAGUUGGCCUAGGCCUUCAUGCAAGCGAUCCUGCAGCUUAUGAUCUACAGGCCCUGUGGAAGUACAAACGGUGGGAAAGUAGGGAGUCUGCGGCAAGCCGUAGUGAAAGCCUCCCAUACUGCAAGGCCCUCAGGCUUCAGAGCAAGACUGUGCCAUGCAGUGAAGAAUGGUAUACCUUUGAAAGACAACUCCUAACCUGGUAAAGAAUGUCUGAUCAUAGGUCACCAAGGACCUAGUGGCUAGAACUUCCCAACAAAUGCUGUUUCCCAUCAGCAGAUCCAGCCACAAUCCGCCAUAAGAUGGAAGUGAUACCUCCAGGAUUGAGCACGAGCAGGAUCAGAGGGCAUAAGCAGAUAUCUAAACCUCCCUGUCACCUGCCAAUUUAUUGCACCAAAGCUCCUCCCUUAGGACACACCGAUGGCAUUAUCCUAUAAGACCUGCUGAAAGAAAAGGAAAAAAUCCUUAGUUUGUUUUAUGGGUGGGUCAGCUCCACACGGGAGUGAUGCAAGCUGCAAGAUGAAAUCAGAUGGUAGUUAAAAAAAAA
rnacentral:lncRNA from 1 species